rnacentral:rRNA from 1 species
GAUGAACGCUGGCGGCGUGCCUAAUACAUGCAAGUCGAGCGAAUGGAUUAAGAGCUUGCUCUUAUGAAGUUAGCGGCGGACGGGUGAGUAACACGUGGGUAACCUGCCCAUAAGACUGGGAUAACUCCGGGAAACCGGGGCUAAUACCGGAUAACAUUUUGAACCGCAUGGUUCGAAAUUGAAAGGCGGCUUCGGCUGUCACUUAUGGAUGGACCCGCGUCCAAUUAGCUAGUUGGUGAGGUAACGGCUCACCAAGGAAACGAUGCGUAGCCGACCUGAGAGGGUGAUCGGCCACACUGGGACUGAGACACGGCCCAGGCUCCUACGGGAGGCAGCAGUAGGGAAUCUUCCGCAAUGGACGAAAGUCUGACGGAGCAACGCCGCGUGAGUGAUGAAGGCUUUCGGGUCGUAAAACUCUGUUGUUAGGGAAGAACAAGUGCUAGUUGAAUAAGCUGGCACCUUGACGGUACCUAACCAGAAAGCCACGGCUAACUACGUGCCAGCCGCCGCAGUAA